rnacentral:rRNA from 1 species
UAACAUAGCCAUAUCACCCUAAAGCUAAGCAGGGUUGAGCCUGGCCAGUACCUGGAUGGGAGACCUCCUGGGGAAAACUAAGGUUGCUGCUGGAA